GGCGGCGUGAACUGAGUUUUUGGCCUCGCUGGAGAGCUUUGGAGCUUGGUCGCUAAUACGGAAGAGCACGCUGGAGGGAGACGUGCCUUGCUUUGGUGACUUUGUUCUGAGGGGCCUGUGUCCAAGCAGAGACUAAACCAGAGCAGCUGUGGGGCCACUUGAAUUUACAGAAGGGAUCAGGUUCUGCAAGGCUGCACCAGUCGGACCAGCAAGAUCUGAUUCCAGCAAUGGCUUUAUGGAUAGCUACACUGGCACUGGUUAAAGGAGAAGAAACCUGGUUACGGAAUCAAAGAAAUUUCUGAAACUGAGUGUUGUUAUUUUUGUCAGGCAAAUAAGGACCAUACAGAGGCAACUUCAGCUCUUUUUUUAUUAACCAGUUAAUCUCCGAUCAAAUACGUAUUGAAACCUCUUGAACUGACCCAUC